GUCCACGCCCUAAACGAUGUCAACUGGUUGUUGGGAAGGUUCCUUCUCAGUAACGUAGCUAACGCGUGAAGUUGACCGCCUGGGGAGUACGGCCGCAAGGUUGAAACUCAAAGGAAUUGACGGGACCCGCACAAGCGGUGGAUGAUGUGGUUUAAUUCGAUGCAACGCGAAAACCUUACCUACCCUUGACAUGUCUGAAAUCCUGCAGAGAUGUGGGAGUGCUCGAAAGAGAAUCAGAACACAGGUGCUGCAUGGCCGUCGU
rnacentral:rRNA from 1 species